AAAAGAGACCCUGCCCAUGCAAAUGGGGCAGGGAAGUGGACAUGUCAGAAAGCGAGGGUUAUGAGGACAGGUUCUGGAUUCAGCCUGCCCGAAUGCAGUUCCUCCUAAGUGAUCUUGGACAAGUUACUUAAACUAUCCAAGUGUCAGUUUCCUCAUAUUUAAGAUGGCGAUAAGAAUAGCACCCGCCUUCUGGAAUUGUUAAAAGGUCGAAAUCCCGUGUAAAGAUCUUAACACAGGCAAGGGUUGGCAAACUUUUUCUAUGAAGAGCCAGAGAGUCAACAUUUUAGGCUUUGUGACACCAUAGGCUUUGGGGUUUCUGUUGCAACCACUCGGCCCUGCUGUUGUAGCUUGAAAGCAGCCACAGACAGUCUGCAAAUGGAAGGGCGUGGCUAUGUUCCAAUAACACUGCGCUUUUCAAAACAGGUGAGGGGCUGGGUUUGGCCUGCAGGCUGUCGUUUGCCGACCCCUGGCUCAGCACAGGGCCUGGCUAAGUGGGCACAAUGGGUUUUUCAUAAAUGCCAGCCAUUCUUCCAGCCUGGGGACAGCUCCUUGACAUCAGUCUCCUUGUUCAUUUGCUUUGUGUUUUUAACAGAAUGUCGAGGUCUUGGCGAGCAGGAGCAACACUUCAGAGCAAGACCAGGCGGGGACUGAAAUGCGCGUGAAGCUUCUGCAGGAGGAGAAUGAGAAGCUGCAGGGAAGAAGCGAAGAGCUGGAGCGGAGAGUUGCUCAGCUUCAAAGGCAGAUCGAGGACCUGAAAGGCGAUGAAGCCAAGGCGAAGGAAACGCUGAAGAAGUACGAGGGAGAAAUACGACAGUUAGAGGAGGCCCUUGUGCACGCC
rnacentral:lncRNA from 1 species